rnacentral:tRNA from 1 species
AGGGAUAUAGUUCAGUAGUAGAGCAGUUGCCUAGCAUGCAUCAGGCCCUGGGUUCAAUCCCCAGUCCUA